rnacentral:lncRNA from 1 species
AUCAUUUGAUUUUAUUAUCUUUGCAGUAUAUGGUAUUUCUGAAUAGAAUGACAGAAUGGGAAAAAGUUCAUAUAAUUGUUCAUGAUUGAAUAUAAAUUGUCUCCUCAUGGAAGCUGCUAUGACAUGUUUCUCUAUUGAUAUAAAAUUCUGCUCUGUUUUUGUCUCGUAUAUAUUUUAACUUCUUUAAUAGAUUAUGUGUAUAUAAAAUUUCCAUAUAGAAGAAAUCUGUAUCAUAAUAGUUUUUAUUUAUAAUUCUUUCUAAAAUAAUUUUUGAGCAACAUCCUUAAAGCUAAGUUGACAUGAUCACAGUCCACUCAGACUGUGUUUGCUCAGACAAUACAUGUGCACCCAUUUGGAUGCUACUUGGACUGUUUCAUCUGAGUCGAAUAAAUUUGGAUGGCAAUCAAAAUACUCUGAGUGGCAGCCAAUUGAAAGUUUCAAGAUGGUGGAAAGCAGAAAACAACAAUCAUUUAAAUAAGCUCUCAUUGUUUGUGUCACAUUUUUGAAUUUUAAAAUUAAGGUAUCUUAAAAGUUCAUCAAACUGAAUAGUUUGUUUGAAUAUAUUUUUAUCUUCAUUUUCCACCUCCCACAGAAAAUUGGAAGAGGCACCUAAUUACUCAUGCCUGAAAAUCUGUUCUCAAGUCCAUAACUUCCUCUUUUUCCAUCUAUUCUGUUUAUUAUUGUGACUGUCCAUCUUCUUCAAUAACAUCAGCUACAACACCUAUCAUUUCAAGCACAAGAUCCACCAUUUCAUCUCAGACUUCAAGUGCACUCAGAUCAUGUUAAAUGAACUUAAAACUCAGUCUGACUAUAUUUGGACAAGGUUUGUCUCUGAGUGAACACUGUCCAAAUGUACUCUAAUCGUGUCAACCUAGCUUAAGGAAGGAAUGACAUUUAAUAGACCUCCUUUCCUCUUUGCUGAAGUAAUAAUCAUCAAU